rnacentral:misc_RNA from 1 species
AACGCACAUUGCGCCCGCUAGUAUUCUGGCGGGCAUGCCUGUUCGAGCGUCAUUUCAACCAUCAAGCGCCUGCGCUUGUGUUGGAGCCCUGCGGCUGCCGCAGGCUCCCAAAUCCAGUGGCGGGCUCGUCGUCGUACCGAGUGCAGUAAACUUACCACGCUCAGGGCACGCGACGGGUGACCGGCCGUAAAACCCCCCAUUUUCUCAAGGUUGACCUCGGAUCAGGUAGGAAUACCCGCUGAACUUAA